rnacentral:lncRNA from 1 species
UCCUUUUCCUCUCCCUUCUUCCAUCCCUCCCUUCUCUCUAGAGCUUAAGUUCUGAUGGACAAAGAUAGACAAUGAACAAAUGAAGAGGGACUUGAAUCCACAAGCAGAUGUUAGACUUCAACACCAGGAAGAAACUAAGAUUGCGGAUGCAAGUGACCGGCCACUUUAAGUUCCUGCUGCCUUGACUUCUUCACCAUGAUAGGCUGUACCUUAUACUAUGAUAUUAAAAUGAAC